GAUGAACGCUGGCGGCGUGCCUAAUACAUGCAAGUCGAGCGAACAGACGAGGAGCUUGCUCCUCUGACGUUAGCGGCGGACGGGUGAGUAACACGUGGAUAACCUACCUAUAAGACUGGGAUAACUUCGGGAAACCGGAGCUAAUACCGGAUAAUAUAUUGAACCGCAUGGUUCAAUAGUGAAAGACGGUUUUGCUGUCACUUAUAGAUGGAUCCGCGCCGCAUUAGCUAGUUGGUAAGGUAACGGCUUACCAAGGCAACGAUGCGUAGCCGACCUGAGAGGGUGAUCGGCCACACUGGAACUGAGACACGGUCCAGACUCCUACGGGAGGCAGCAGUAGGGAAUCUUCCGCAAUGGGCGAAAGCUUGACGGAGCAACGCCGCGUGAGUGAUGAAGGUCUUCGGAUCGUAAAACUCUAUUAUUAGGGAAGAACAAAUGUGUAAGUAACUAUGCACGUCUUGACGGUACCUAAUCAGAAAGCCACGGCUAACUACGU
rnacentral:rRNA from 1 species